rnacentral:rRNA from 1 species
UACGUAGGGGGCAAGCGUUGUCCGGAAUUAUUGGGCGUAAAGAGCGUGUAGGCGGCCUGAAAGGUCAGCUGUGAAAACUCGAGGCUCAACCUCGAGACGUCGGUUGAAACCAUCUGGCUAGAGUCCGGAAGAGGAGUGUGGAAUUCCCGGUGUAGCGGUGAAAUGCGCAGAUAUCGGGAAGAACACCCGUGGCGAAGGCGGCACUCUGGGACGGUACUGACGCUGAGACGCGAAAGCGUGGGGAGCGAACAGG